AGAGUUUGAUCAUGGCUCAGAUUGAACGCUGGCGGCAGGCCUAACACAUGCAAGUCGAACGGUAACAGGAAGCAGCUUGCUGCUUCGCUGACGAGUGGCGGACGGGUGAGUAAUGUCUGGGAAGCUGCCUGAUGGAGGGGGAUAACUACUGGAAACGGUAGCUAAUACCGCAUAAUGUCGCAAGACCAAAGAGGGGGACCUUCGGGCCUCUUGCCAUCGGAUGUGCCCAGAUGGGAUUAGCUUGUUGGUGGGGUAACGGCUCACCAAGGCGACGAUCCCUAGCUGGUCUGAGAGGAUGACCAGCCACACUGGAACUGAGACACGGUCCAGACUCCUACGGGAGGCAGCAGUGGGGAAUAUUGCACAAUGGGCGCAAGCCUGAUGCAGCCAUGCCGCGUGUAUGAAGAAGGCCUUCGGGUUGUAAAGUACUUUCAGCGGGGAGGAAGGGAGUAAAGUUAAUACCUUUGCUCAUUGACGUUACCCGCAGAAGAAGCACCGGCUAACUCCGUGCCAGCAGCCGCGGUAAUACGGAGGGUGCAAGCGUUAAUCGGAAUUACUGGGCGUAAAGCGCACGCAGGCGGUUUGUUAAGUCAGAUGUGAAAUCCCCGGGCUCAACCUGGGAACUGCAUCUGAUACUGGCAAGCUUGAGUCUCGUAGAGGGGGGUAGAAUUCCAGGUGUAGCGGUGAAAUGCGUAGAGAUCUGGAGGAAUACCGGUGGCGAAGGCGGCCCCCUGGACGAAGACUGACGCUCAGGUGCGAAAGCGUGGGGAGCAAACAGGAUUAGAUACCCUGGUAGUCCACGCCGUAAACGAUGUCGACUUGGAGGUUGUGCCCUUGAGGCGUGGCUUCCGGAGCUAACGCGUUAAGUCGACCGCCUGGGGAGUACGGCCGCAAGGUUAAAACUCAAAUGAAUUGACGGGGGCCCGCACAAGCGGUGGAGCAUGUGGUUUAAUUCGAUGCAACGCGAAGAACCUUACCUGGUCUUGACAUCCACGGAAGUUUUCAGAGAUGAGAAUGUGCCUUCGGGAACCGUGAGACAGGUGCUGCAUGGCUGUCGUCAGCUCGUGUUGUGAAAUGUUGGGUUAAGUCCCGCAACGAGCGCAACCCUUAUCCUUUGUUGCCAGCGGUCCGGCCGGGAACUCAAAGGAGACUGCCAGUGAUAAACUGGAGGAAGGUGGGGAUGACGUCAAGUCAUCAUGGCCCUUACGACCAGGGCUACACACGUGCUACAAUGGCGCAUACAAAGAGAAACGACCUCGCGAGAGCAAGCGGACCUCAUAAAGUGCGUCGUAGUCCGGAUUGGAGUCUGCAACUCGACUCCAUGAAGUCGGAAUCGCUAGUAAUCGUGGAUCAGAAUGCCACGGUGAAUACGUUCCCGGGCCUUGUACACACCGCCCGUCACACCAUGGGAGUGGGUUGCAAAAGAAGUAGGUAGCUUAACCUUCGGGAGGGCGCUUACCACUUUGUGAUUCAUGACUGGGGUGAAGUCGUAACAAGGUA
rnacentral:rRNA from 1 species